UUCAGGAUGGCCGAGUGGUCUAAGGCGCCAGACUCAAGGUUAUCAAACUUUAUAGCGAGUAUUCAGGUCCACGUAUGUGGGCUUGGGUUCAAAUCCCACUUCUGACA
rnacentral:tRNA from 1 species